AGCAGCCGCGGUAAUUCCAGCUCCAAUAGCGUAUAUUAAAGUUGUUGCAGUUAAAAAGCUCGUAGUUGAAUUUCGGGACCAAUCUGCCGGUCGUGCCUCCGGUACGCACUGGUCUUAUUGGUUUCUCCCUUCUGACGAACCAUGAUGUCAUUAAUUUGGUGUCAUGGGGAAUCAGGACUGUUACUUUGAAAAAAUUAGAGUGUUUAUAGCAGGCUCACGCUUGAAUACAUUAGCAUGGAAUAAUGAAAUAGGACGUUUGACCCUAUUUUGUUGGUUUCUAGGAUCGACGUAAUGAUUAAUAGGGAUAGUUGGGGGCAUUAGUAUUCAAUUGUCAGAGGUGAAAUUCUUGGAUUUAUUGAAGACUAGCUACUGCGAAAGCAUUUGCCAAGGAUGUUUUCAUUAAUCAAGAACGAAAGUUAGGGGAUCGAAGACGAUCAGAUACCGUCGUAGUCUUAACCAUAAACUAUGCCGACUAGGGAUCGGAUGAUGUUAAUUUUUUAAUGACUCAUUCGGCGCCUUA
rnacentral:rRNA from 1 species